rnacentral:misc_RNA from 1 species
AAGUCGUAACAAGGUAACCGUAGGUGAACCUGCGGUUGGAUCAUUAACAAAGAUCUACUACGAGUAGUUUCCAUUCGGAAGCUGCUCAUCACCUCUGUGAACACUAAUGUUUGGGUCUCUAGUAUUUACUUACUGAGACUUUAUAAACCUAUUAAACCUACUAAUUUAAAAAGACCAAAAUCCAUAAACAACUUUUGACAAUGGAUCUCUUGGCUCUC